rnacentral:rRNA from 1 species
UACGAAGGGGGCUAGCGUUGCUCGGAAUCACUGGGCGUAAAGCGCACGUAGGCGGAUCGUUAAGUCGGGGGUGAAAUCCUGGAGCUCAACUCCAGACUGCCUCCGAUACUGGCGAUCUUGGAGUCCGGGAGAGGUGAGUGGAACUCCGAGUGUAGAGGUGAAAUUCGUAGAUAUUCGGAAGAACACCAGUGGCGAAGGCGGCUCACUGGCCCGGUACUGACGCUGAGGUGCGAAAGCGUGGGGAGCAAACAGG